AGAGUUUGAUCCUGGCUCAGAACGAACGCUGGCGGCGUGCUUAACACAUGCAAGUCAAGGAGAAAGUCUCUUCGGGGAUGAUUAAACCGGCGCACGGGUGAGUAACACGUGAGUGACCUGCCUUUUAGACUGGAACAACUUACCGAAAGGUGAGCUAAUGCCGGAUGAGUUAUAUAAGUGCAUGUUUAUAUAGGAAAAGUUGGGGAGACCUGACGCUGAAAGAUGGACUCGCGUCCCAUUAGCUAGUUGGUAGGGUAAUGGCCUACCAAGGCGACGAUGGGUAGCCGGCCUGAGAGGGUGGCCGGCCACACUGGGACUGAGACACGGCCCAGACUCCUACGGGAGGCAGCAGUGGGGAAUUUUGCGCAAUGCUCGUAAGAGUGACGCAGCGACGCCGCGUGAAUGACGAAAGCCUUCGGGUCGUAAAGUUCUUUCGACAGGGAAGAAAAUGCCUAUAAGUAACUGUGUAUGUAUUGACGGUACC
rnacentral:rRNA from 1 species